CUUACAUACCUGCUGAAGUCACCUUAUCUUUACUCAAAUGUUGUAGUUUAUGUUAAUCUUGUUUUUAUGAAUGAAGCUAGAAUAAUUAUAGGGUGUCUACUUGAGCAGUGGCUCUUGGACUUUCUUGUACGACAGAACUGAUUGCUGCCCUGCUCUUUCCUUGGUUCAGACUCUUUGGUUAAACCCAAGCCAAGAAGAUCUUCAGCUGCAGCAAUAAAGUUUCCAGCUUUCUUUAUUUCUGACUCCCCCAUGGUGAACAUCACCAUUAGUCUUCCCGAAAGAAGCGCACAGCAAUGCUGUGCCUCUAGCUGAACAAACAUAACCCACCUAUAAUAACUGUUGAGUCUUUGCAAGAAGUAGGAUGUUGCAGUAGGCAUUAACGAGGUAUCAGGUUGUGACGUGAGAGGACCCCUGCUGUGUUGUAAUAGGCGAUAAUGGGGUAUCGGUUGUGACGCGAUAGGCCCUCCCCCGCUUUGUGAGUAACGUGUGAGUAAUGUGUGACACAUGCUUAAGGGGCAUAAGCGAAACGGGAUGUGUAUUUAAGGGGUUGUCGGUGCCUUAAUAAAUUGCCAUUUGCUUCUCCAUCAUAUUGGUGUCAGUGUUGCUAUGGCCCUAGCGAAUGCAGAUCGCUAGCCCCCUGGUGGUGCGGCCUCAGACAUGGUGGUUGCCGGAGUUCUUCUGGACUGAGCAGGAGCCCUUUUGCAGCCUCCCUAGAUGUUGAAUCAUUAUCAUAAUAAUAACGCGAAGCUGAUGGCUUCCCUUGGUGACCGGGAUCAUUCUGACUACUUGAGAAAGGACUAAAUGAGAUGGCAAAGACUGCAGGAACUUAAGAACUGAAGAUUCUCCUCAGUGAUCCUACCACUAUGCUAAGUAAUCAUGAUGGAUGCUCACCAGCCCUCAUACACUUACACUGUAACAGAUCCGUUAUCCUCAAGUACUAGGUCUUAUUCAGAAACCUGACUACAU
rnacentral:lncRNA from 1 species